AGAGUUUGAUCCUGGCUCAGAACGUACGCUGGCGGCACGCCUAAUACAUGCAAGUCGAACGAAGUAGCAAUACUUAGUGGCAGACGGGUGAGUAACAUGUGGGUAUCUUCCCUUUGGUGAGGAAUAACACGAGGAAACUUGUGCUAAUACCUCAUAAGUCUUUACAGAGAAAGCUUUAUGCGCCAUUGGAUGAGCCCGCACUUGAUUAGUUUGUUGGUGGGGUAAUGGCCUACCAAGACAAUGAUCAAUAGCUGAUUUGAGAGGAUGAUCAGCCACAUUGGGACUGAGACACGGCCCAAACUCCUACGGGAGGCAGCAGUAGGGAAUCUUGCACAAUGGAGGAAACUCUGAUGCAGCGAUGCCGCGUGAGUGAAGAAGGCCUUUGGGUUGUAAAGCUCUUUCGUCGGGGAAGAAAAUGACUGUACCCGAAUAAGAAGGUCCGGCUAACUUCGUGCCAGCAGCCGCGGUAAUACGAAGGGACCUAGCGUAGUUCGGAAUUACUGGGCUUAAAGAGUUCGUAGGUGGUUAAAAAAGUUGAUGGUGAAAUCCCAGAGCUUAACUCUGGAACUGCCAUCAAAACUUUUUAGCUAGAGUAUGAUAGAGGAAAGCAGAAUUUCUAGUGUAGAGGUGAAAUUCGUAGAUAUUAGAAAGAAUACCAAUGGCGAAGGCAGCUUUCUGGACCAAUACUGACGCUGAGGUACGAAAGCGUGGGUAGCAAACAGGAUUAGAUACCCUGGUAGUCCACGCCGUAAACGAUGAUAACUAGCCGUUGGGGGGAUUUACCCCUUAGUGGCGAAGCUAACGCGUUAAGUUAUCCGCCUGGGGAGUACGGCCGCAAGGCUAAAACUCAAAGGAAUUGACGGGGACCCGCACAAGCGGUGGAGCAUGUGGUUUAAUUCGAUGCAACGCGAAGAACCUUACCUGGUCUUGACAUCCUGCGAACUUUCUAGAAAUAGAUUGGUGCCUUCGGGAACGCAGUGACAGGUGCUGCAUGGCUGUCGUCAGCUCGUGUCGUGAGAUGUUGGGUUAAGUCCCGUAACGAGCGCAACCCCUAUCCUUAUUUGCCAGCACAUUAUGGUGGGAACUAUAAGGAGACUGCCGGUGAUAAACCGGAGGAAGGCGGGGACGACGUCAAGUCAUCAUGGCCCUUACGACCAGGGCUACACACGUGCUACAAUGGGAAGGACAAAGAGCCGCGAAGCCGCGAGGUGUAGCUAAUCUCAGAAAUCUUUUCGUAGUCCGGAUUGGAGUCUGCAACUCGACUCCAUGAAGUCGGAAUCGCUAGUAAUCGUAGAUCAGAAUGCUACGGUGAAUACGUUCCCGGGUCUUGUACACACCGCCCGUCAUACCAUGGGAGUGGGUUGCACCAGAAGUGGCUAGUCUAACUUUGUGAGGACGGUCACCACGGUGUGAUUCAUGACUGGGGUAAAGUCGUAACAAGGUAACC
rnacentral:rRNA from 1 species